rnacentral:rRNA from 1 species
AUUGAACGCUGGCGGCAGGCCUAACACAUGCAAGUCGAGCGGAUGACGGGAGCUUGCUCCUUGAUUCAGCGGCGGACGGGUGAGUAAUGCCUAGGAAUCUGCCUGGUAGUGGGGGACAACGUUUCGAAAGGAACGCUAAUACCGCAUGCGUCCUACGGGAGAAAGCAGGGGACCUUCGGGCCUUGCGCUAUCAGAUGAGCCUAGGUCGGAUUAGCUUGUUGGUGAGGUAAUGGCUCACCAAGGCGACGAUCCGUAACUGGUCUGAGAGGAUGAUCAGUCACACUGGAACUGAGACACGGUCCAGACUCCUACGGGAGGCAGCAGUGGGGAAUAUUGGACAAUGGGCGAAAGCCUGAUCCAGCCAUGCCGCGUGUGUGAAGAAGGUCUUCGGAUUGUAAAGCACUUUAAGUUGGGAGGAAGGGUUGUAGAUUAAUACUCUGCAAUUUUGACGUUACCGACAGAAUAAGCACUGGCUAACUCUGUGCCAGCCGCCGCAGUAAGAC